rnacentral:lncRNA from 1 species
CUGGUGUGAGGAGUGUGUGUAGUGUGUGGUGUGUGUGGUUGUGUGGUGUGUGUGAUGUGUGUGUGGUGUGAGGUGUGUGUGAGUGUGUGGGGUGUGGUGCUGGUAUGGUGUGAAGAGUCUGUGCAAUAGUGUGUGGGGUGUGGUGUAAGGUGUGUGUAACCAUAUAUGAGGUGUGAAGUGUGUGAGCAUGUGUGUGGUGUGAGAUGUGUGAGGUGUGUAUAUGUGUAGUGUGAGGUGAGUGGUGUGAAGUGUGAAGUGUGUGUGAGCAUGUGUGUGGUGUGAAGUGUGUGUGAUCAUGUGUGUGGUGUGAGGUGUAUGUUGUCAGGUGU